GAUCUAUCCAAGAAUAUCUUACUCUGGAACCUGGUGUUCUUUUCAGUUCUUUCCCAGACAAAAGCUUUGCUCAUUUUAAUCAACCACCUUUACAGGCAAAGAUCACACUAUGGAUAUUUUACUGUUACAACAAUGAUCUAAGAUGCUGGGAGCAUAAAAAAUCUAAAGACAGUUGGAGAACUUUGGUUUACUAAUUUAAGGAAGAAAUGC
rnacentral:lncRNA from 1 species